AUGGCAGCUCGGUCGCCGCCGAGGCCGGUGCUGCUGCUCCUGCUCCUCGCCCUCCUCUGCUGCCACAUUGCGCUCUGCUCCUCCGCUCCGCCGGCCGCCAAGCCCAAGCCCAAGCUCUCCGGCGGCCGCAAGGAGCUCGUCUCCACCGAUGACGACGAGCCGGUCAAGCCGCCCAAGACCACCGCUGCUGCCGGCGUCAAGAAGAAGGUCUCCUCUGGCGCCAAGAAUCAGACCAAGGUUCUGAAAGGCACGAAACCGGAGGAGUCCACCUCGACGACGACCAAGGUCACCACCAAGAAGGCGACCGCUAAAGCGGAGUCGACCACGACCAAGAAGCCGACCGCUAAAGCGGGCGGCGAUGCGGCCACGACCAAGAAGCCGGCCACUAAAGCGGCCGGCGAUGCGGCCAAGCCCAAGGUCCCGAAGCUGGACAAGGCGGCGGCCACCGCCAAGCCCAAGAGCGCCGAUUCCGCCAAGUCCUCCAAGGCGGGCGCUGCCAAGCCGGUGAAAUCUGAGGGGGGCGCUCCCAAGGCCAAGAAGCCGUCCAAUUCGACGGCGGAUUCGGCCAAGUCGAGCAAGAAAGCGAAGGCCGUCGUCGCCGACGGGAAGGUGAAGGCGAAUUCGACCGUGAGCAGCGAGGAGGCGGCGGGGGUGGAGGAGGACGUGGUCUUCGCGGAGGAGGCGGAGGGGACGGAGGACCUCAUGUCCGAGUUCCGGGGCCUCCCGGCGCGGCUGCAUCAGACGCUCAUGCCGGACCUGGCGCGGCUGUCGUACACGUCCAAGGCGUACCUGUCGGCCGCCAAUGCGGGGAUCGCCGGCGGCGUGCGGCCGGUCCUGGGGGGGCGGUGGGGGGUGGCGGCGGCCUCCGCGGCGUCGGUGGCCCUGCUGCUGCUGCCCCUCUGCAUGCUCACCGCGCUGGUGCGGCGCAUGGGCCCGUACCUGCCGCUCCUCCACCGCGCGCUGCUGCUCUCGCAGGCCUACCUCGCCAUCUACUUCGGCACGCUCGCGCUCGCCGCCGCCGCCACGGGGCUGGAGCCGCUCCGCUUCUUCCACGCCGCCUCGCCCGCGGCCUACGCCUGGACGCAGGCCGCGCAGUCGCUCGGCUUCAUGGGCUACCUCGUGCUCCAGAUGGUGGACCUCGUCGCCGUCUUCUCCGGGGCCCCGCGCGCGAACUGGCGCGUGUACGCCGUCUACGCCGCCUGCUUCGUCAUCAUCUGCGCGUGCGCGCGAGCGGAGAAGAGGAAGAAGGCCUACCUCGCCGGCGCCGAGGAGUGGAAGAAGAGCUGA
rnacentral:rRNA from 1 species